GCCUGCCCAGUGAGCACAUUUAACGGCCGCGGUAUCCUAACCGUGCAAAGGUAGCACAAUCACUUGUUCUUUAAAUAAGGACUGGUAUGAACGGCGCCAUGAGGAUCAACUUGUCUCUUAUGAUAAGUCUAUGAAACUGAUCUUUCAGUACAAAAGCUGAAAUAAUCUCACAAGACGAGAAGACCCUGUGGAGCUUCAAACUUUCGGUCACCCAUACGCCUGACCUUACAGUUUUUAGUUGGGGCGACUUUGGAGAAAAACACAACCUCCAACCUAAGACUUUAGGUAGCCACACCUAGACACACCACUUGACCCAAUCUAAUUGAGCAACGAACCAAGUUACCCCAGGGAUAACAGCGCAAUCUUCUCCUAGAGUCCCUAUCGACAAGAAGGUUUACGACCUCGAUGUUGGAUCAGGAUAUCCCAAUAGUGCAGCCGCUAUUAAAGGUUCGUUUGUUCAACGAUUAAUAAUCCUACGUGAUCUGAGUUCAGACCAG
rnacentral:rRNA from 1 species